GCUGAGGGGAGGAAGCUGCGGAAGUGGACUGGGACUGGAGUUUGGGGUUCUACCCUAGGUUGGGGCGGAGGAAGCUGGAGGAUAGGGGCUGACGCCAGGAACGCUGCAGAGGCGGGUUGGGCGGGGGGCGCUGCCGCCCAAGGCCCGAGGCAGCGGCGCGGGAUCGGCCAAAGCACCGGCCGCCAGUUCGGCGGGUCUGGAGAGAGGGGACCUCAAGCAGCCAGUGGAGCAACCAGCCUGGGAGCCUUCGACGUAGGCGCUGUGGGCGAAGGAAAAGGCCUGGCCUGCUGCCUCUUCUCUUGCAGCAAAAUCCGCUGCUGUGAAGGAGCUGAAAAGAAGCAGACCUACAUCGUUUGCAGAUGAGCUGGCUGCCCGCAUCAAGGGGGAUGCCGUGGGCCGAGUGGACGAGGAGCCGACAACCUUACCCUCAGGAGAAGCAAAACUUCGGAAGACACUCAAGAGAAGAAGGAAAGGAGAACUCCUUCGGACGAUGAAGAGGAUAACUUAUUCGCACCCCCCAAGCUGACCGACGAGGAC
rnacentral:lncRNA from 1 species